CUGGCAGUUUUCCUGAGUACAUGGGAGUUAGGGCAGAGAACAUGAUGUGGUGCUGGUAGUCAACGCAAGCUGGCACGGCCUCAGCCAGAAGACUGGAGCUAGGAGCAAGCAAAGCACCAAGUAAAUGAAUCAAAUUAAAAAACAACUACAACAACAACAACAAAGGAGGAAACUAGAGAACAUCUUGGGAACUAUCCGCUUUUGGAACUUAUCCCAUGCUGGAACAUUGCCCUGAGACAGACAUCCAUGAAGAAGCCUGGGAUGAAAGACCACAUGGAGAGAAAGGCCCACCAUCAUUCUGCACCAACUACCAACGGCGUAAGGGAGGUUGACUUGGAUCUCCCACCCCAGUUGACUCUCCAGCUGAAAGCAACUGCCUGAGCCCAAACAAAACCUGCUGAGGAACCUCCCUGCUAGCAAAUGGAAUCAGGAGAAAUAAUAAAUAGUUCUGUUGUUUUAAGUCACCAACUCA
rnacentral:lncRNA from 10 species